CCUACGGGGGGCAGCAGUGAGGAAUAUUGGUCAAUGGACGAGAGUCUGAACCAGCCAAGUAGCGUGAAGGAUGACUGCCCUAUGGGUUGUAAACUUCUUUUAUAUGGGAAUAAAACGUUCCACGUGUGGGAUUUUGUAUGUACCAUAUGAAUAAGGAUCGGCUAACUCCGUGCCAGCAGCCGCGGUAAUACGGAGGAUCCGAGCGUUAUCCGGCUUUAUUGGGGUUAAAGGGAGCGUAGGUGGAUUGUUAAGUCAGUUGUGAAAGUUUGCGGCUCAACCGUAAAAUUGCAGUUGAUACUGGCAGUCUUGAGUACAGUAGAGGUAGGCGGAAUUCGAGGUGUAGCGGUGAAAUGCUUAGAUAUCACGAAGAACUCCGAUUGCGAAGGCAGUUCACUGGACUGCAACUGACACUGAGGCUCGAAAGUGUGGGUAUCAAACAGGAUUAGAUACCCGGGUAGUC
rnacentral:rRNA from 1 species